rnacentral:rRNA from 1 species
UCGGCCUUGUACACACCGCCCGUCACAUCACGAAAGUGGAUUGUACUAGAAGUCCUAAUCAAACAGGCCCAAGGUGUGAUUCAUGAUUGGGGUG